rnacentral:rRNA from 15 species
UGGAGGUAUCGGAAGUGCGAAUGCUGACAUGAGUAGCGAUAAAGAGGGUGAGAUGCCCUCUCGCCGAAAGACCAAGGGUUCCUGCGCAAGGCUAAUCCGCGCAGGGUGAGCCGGCCCCUAAGACGAGCCCGAAGGGGGUAGUCGAUGGGAACCACGUUAAUAUUCGUGGGCCUGGUGGUGUG